CGGUGGAUCACUUGGCUUCGUGGUCGAUGAAGAACGCAGCUAAUUGCGCGUCAACUUGUGAACUGCAGGACACAUGAACAUCGACAUUUCUAACGCACAUUGCGGUCCA
rnacentral:rRNA from 1 species